AACAAAGAUAAACAUGAAGGUAGACGCAAAGAUAAACAUAAAGGUAGACAUAAAGGUAAACAUAAUGAUAGACACAAAGAUAGACAUAAAAGUAAACACAAUGGUAGGCAUAAAGGUAGACUGUCCACCUUUGUGUCUACUUUUUCAUAGGACAAAGUUCUUAUUUUGUUGAACACGACAAUUGAAAAAUUGGUCAUUUCGUAGUCGAAAGUAAUCGAAAGUAAUCGAAGGUAGUCAAUUCACGCGAUGCCAUGUGGUAAAUCAGGGCAGUAAUGGCGUCGAGAUCAUUUGACUUUGUUUUUUAACUAACUGCACUAUUUUUUAUCGUCAUACGCACCAACCAUAUUUUUUCGACCGUUGGUGUUGGUUGCGCACGAAAGUUUAAUAAUUCCAGACAAGGACAAAGAAACCUAUGAAAUGAAGUCUUUUUAAUUGAUGCUCCUGUCCAGAUGUUGGUGGAAAGACUGGAAGUUGUAAACACGUCAUUUGCUUACUAUUGAACAACAAAGAUUGUCAAAGAAACAAUGUGAACGAUCUGAAUUUCGUGCACUACUCAAUCAACACGCAAAAUUCAAAGGUAUAAAUGCCAACGUAAAGGAGGCUGCCAAGAAACAACGAUAUCAGACUUUAUAUUGUAUGAGUGAAGAAGAAUUUUUUAGAACUGCUAAAGAAAUGUUGAAGAUAAAAACUUUGGUUGAAGUGAAGGAUUUUUGUACAUCGUAAAAUAUGUUCAAAUGCUAUGUUCAGGGGAUACAAAAAGUAUCAUUUUUUUUACUCAAGAAUACUAAAAUGCGAAAAGCGUCAAACUACAACAAGAUGUGACGAAGAAUAAUGAGAAGAAGGAACAACAAAGGCAAUCUUACGGCUUUGACGUAACUAAAGUAAUGGAUGCGACACGACCUCCCAAAAAGAACGCUCAUACAGCAAAA